rnacentral:rRNA from 1 species
AAAUUGUGUUCUCCAUACAUACAGGGAAACCACAUCUAUGCAGAGUUUUCAGAGAAGGUUGUCCACCAGUUCAUAGAUCUUAUUUAAGGAAUCAUGGUAUAUGAGCUUAGGAAGUUCUUUGUGCUCUCAAGGAAGUAUCUAUUCAGGCCUCUUGAGGGGAUCUUGCAUGAUCAAGAUCACUUCGUUCACUACUGCUUUCACAAGGCCUGGCAUUGAGCCAGACUUCCUGUUCUGUACGCUUUAACUCCGCCGGCUCAGCUCCCUGGUCCAACUGACAUGCCUGAAAAGUUCACAGAGGCAAGCAAACCAGUGUGGUGGUCAUAUGGCCUUGAAGUUUGCUGCUGAUGAAGUUAUUGAACUGGGCAAGAAAGAACCGGUCAUUGCUAUGUUUGUUGGGACGCUGUUCAAGAAAUAGGAAGGUCGUAGAGGUGUAACUGGAAGUGCUGCGUGUCGCUGGUACAUUAAUGAAGAUUUGCAGACAUAAGAUUGUUCAGCAGAAGCAUGCCAUAAGUCGUCAGCGCCUUGUGCAGCUGCGUAUAAGUGCUCAGACCCUGACUGCAAUGGGAUGGAUGCGUUCCUAGGUACCGGAUAUAUGCUACCCGGUCCAUGAUGAUGGUUCCGAGGCCAAGUUUGUUCUCUUCGACACGGUCCAGUAUUGCUUUGUCGUGUUGAUCCCCAAUAAGUGUUAUCUAAACGAGCAAGAGUCCAGCAGCAUCCAGGAGUGGUUCAUGUAGCUGUGUUGUUUCUCUUCUAGCUGAUGAUGUCAGUGAUACUUUGCAAGGAGAUAUGUCGCCUUCACAUGGACUUGCUGCUGUUCAGAAAACUGAAGACAUCCCCACUCCGGGUCUGACCACGACACCACCUCCUAAGGGUGGAUAGGAGACACCUCAUUCCGCUUCAAAAACAGUUGGACUCUAGGUAUGUAUAAAUUCACUGAACGGAAUGGUCGCCUUCAUAGCUUGACCACAUUUGUUCUGACAUGCAUGUUGUGCAGCCAUGGUGCUUCUCCUAUCAAGAAAAUAGUUACAGUUUUGAGAUGCUCUUUGUCAGGAAAAUUCAAUUAUUAUUCAUGUCAAAAUCUCAUUUGGGACAGCAUGUCAAAAACCUUAAAGCUGAACCAAAAGUGCAAUUCUAUACUUGGCUGUCAAUCUAAAACCGUAACUGGACUGCAGAUAGACGUAAAAACAGAUGGCCCCAUGAUGGCAACUGCGUCCUCUGUGAUCAGUCCAGUCGAAACGGCUGCCCAUCUCACACACUACAUUGCCCUUUUGCCAAAGAGGUGUGAAAGCGGAAUCAUCUUUCUGACCCCGGUUACUCCAUGUCCAACAUUGCGUUGCAGGCCAUGCACAUCCGUGAAGAAAUGGUGAAGCUACUCUGCUCACAUGGCGAGGAAAACUAGGAAAAAAGACUCAGGCUGUCACUUAGUUAUAUGGUUGUUGCCUGUAAUAUUUCGAAAGAGCGAGACGGGAGGCUCUUUGAAGGAAAAUAGAGCACCACAUCACUCGGAGCUGCUGAACUUGUCCGAAGCGACGUCGCUCUUCUUUAAGAUGCUUGCCAGAGCUAAUUUAGGUCAUUGUACAGCGAAGUGCCAUCUUAUCUUGGCUGGUUCGAUUGUUUAGCCUUUUGUUUCCUGAUCUUUACCCUGUAAAAGGAUUGUAAUUCCGCCUUCUCAAUGCCAAGCCCC